UUUUGUUAAACUUUCUUCUACUUCUUGUGGAUGGUAAUGUAAAAAUGUGUCUAUGUUGUGUUUCUAACUGUCUAGGUCAUGCAAUUUCUUGCUUCCACUAUUCCCUUUAGUAGGAGGAGAGAGAUUAGUGCAGGUUUAGAGAGUGAGAGGGGGGGACGCCAGUAGAGAAGGUCAGCUCUUGCUCGGAGAGGUAGGAGGUGAAUCAGAGAGCUAAAGAUCAUUUUCUAUGUAUUAGAAUUUCUUUAUACGGAACGGCUGGAGGAGAGUGUCCAGCUCACCUCAUGACAGGUGUCUCCUUCAUGUUGG
rnacentral:lncRNA from 1 species